rnacentral:rRNA from 1 species
GAAUCUUCCGCAAUGGACGCAAGUCUGACGGAGCGACGCCGCGUGAGUGAUGAAGGUCUUCGGAUCGUAAAACUCUGUUGUUAGGGAGGAAUAAGUAUCGGAGUAAUAUGCCGGUACCUUGACGGUACCUAACCAGAAAGCCCCGGCUAACUCCGUGCCACCAGCCGCGGUAAUACGUAGGGGGCAAGCGUUGUCCGGAAUUAUUGGGCGUAAAGGGCACGCAGGCGGUCUUUUAAGUCUGAUGUGAAAUCUCGUAGCUUAACUACGAGCGGUCAUUGGAAACUGGAAGACUUGAGUGCAGAAGAGGAGAGUGGAAUUCCACGUGUAGCGGUGAAAUGCGUAGAGAUGUGGAGGAACACCAGUGGCGAAGGCGGCUCUCUGGUCUGCAACUGACGCUGAGGUGCGAAAGCGUGGGUAGCGAAC